rnacentral:rRNA from 1 species
AGGGAAUCUUGCGCAAUGAGGGAAACCUUGACGCAGCGAUGCCGCGUGUGGGAAGACGGCCCUAGGGUUGUAAACCACUUUCAGCAGGGACGAAAUUGACGGUACCUGCAGAAGAAGCCCCGGCCAACUACGUGCCAGCAGCCGCGGUAAUACGUAGGGGGCGAGCGUUGUCCGGAUUUAUUGGGCGUAAAGAGCUCGUAGGCGGUUCAGUAAGUCAGAUGUGAAAACUCAGGGCUCAACCCGGAGACGCCAUCUGAUACUGCUGUGACUCGAGUCCGGUAGAGGAGUGUGGAAUUUCUGGUGUAGCGGUGAAAUGCGCAGAUAUCAGAAGGAACACCAAUGGCGAAGGCAGCACUCUGGGCCGGGACUGACGCUGAGGAGCGAAAGCGUGGGGAGCAAAC